rnacentral:rRNA from 1 species
UAAACGGACCAUCGAGUAUCCAUUGGAGGGCAAGUCUGGUGCCAGCAGCUGCGGUAAUACCAGCUCCAAUAGCGUAUAUUAAAGUUGUUGCAGUUAAAAAGCUCGUAGUUGGACCUGUGUGCGCUGUCCGCGGGUGGCCUGCGCCCAAAAGGGCGUUUCGGUUCGGCCCCGGUGGCGCCUUGAAAUCUGCAGCUGGGGGGACGUUGGCCCUAACUGGUCGGCGACCGCACGCCGGCUGCUCGGUUACUGUGAGAAAAUUAGAGUGUUCAAGGCAGGCAUUGGGUGCAAUUGAAUACAUUAGCAUGGAAUAAUAAAAUAUGGCUCCUGCCGUAUUUUGUUGGUUUUGACUGGUGGGAGUAAUGAUUGAUAGGGACGGUUGGGGGUGCUAGUAUUGAGCGGCCAGAGGUGAAAUUCAUGGAUUCGCUCAAGACUAACUUAUGCGAAAGCAUUCACCAAGGACGUCCUCUUUAAUCAAGAACGAAAGUUGGGGGAUCGAAGACGAUCAGAUACCGUCGUAGUCUCAACCAUAAACUAUGUCGACUUGGGAUCGGCGGUAGUUUUUUCAUUAAGACACUGUCGGGACCACGGGAGAAAUCAAAGUGUCUGGACUCUGGGGGAAGUAUGGUCGCAAGGCUGAAACUUGAAGGAAUUGACGGAAGGGCACCACCAGGAGUGGAGCCUGCGCUUAAUUUGACCCAACACGGGGAAACUUACCAGGUCCAGAGAUGUAGAGGAUUGACAGAUUGAAGCUCUUUCUUGAUCACUUCGGUGGUGGUGCAUGGCCGUUCUUAGUUGGUGGAGUGAUUUGUCUGGUUAAUUCCGUUAGCGAACGAGACCUCAGCCUGCUAGUGUAGUCGGCUAGAUUGCCUUUGGCGAUCCGUGAUUUCGACUUCUUAGAGGGACAAUCGACGCGCAGUCGAUGGAAGUUUGAGGCAAUAACAGGUCUGUGAUGCCCUUAGAUGUUCUGGGCCGCACGCGCGCUACACUGCUGGGCUCAGCGAGUUUUACUUGGCCGAGAGGCCCGGUUAAUCUUGUGAAAUCCCAGCGUGCUUGGGCUCGCCUCCUGCAACUGGAGGCGCCAACGAGGAAUUCCUAGUAGACGCAGGUCAUCAACCUGCAUCGAUUACGUCCCUGCCCUUUGUACACACCGCCCGUCGUUCCAUAAGAGUGAGGCAUCCGGUGAAUUCUCGGGAGAGCCUGGGCGUGGCCAGCAAUGGUCUGCUCGGGUUUGAACUUGCAUAAACUUGGUGCCUAUGAUUAGGG